GGGUCCUAAAGCUAACCAUUCGCCUUGCUUCCUUGAGCUUCUGGCAAACAUCUCUCUAAUGAGACAGAAAAGGAGUAUUUUUUUUAUAUACAUCCCUACAUGCUUAUUAACUCUUAAUAGGGAACACAUGAGAUGGGCGGCAGCAUUGUAACAUAGCUGCGUGAUACAAAAGUGAACACAAAUACAAAGAAACUAGUCCUGCGCUCAAACUCCCAUUACUAAUGGGCGGCAGCAAUGACUAUAGUACUUCACCUCCAUUCAGAAAUAGCACAGGUGCAGCAAUUGCCACAAACAUCCCAGUUGCCGAAUAGAAUGAUUCUCUAUGAGAACCCUUUUCUGUUUGAACAAUAGUUCAAACAAAGCUGAACACAAAAUCUUACUUCUAUUAGCUUGACAGCUAGGUAUUUCUAAAUGGAUUAAAAAAUCUGCAGGUUUCACUUGGGGGACAAGUCAGGCCUAAAGCAUUUUAAAAAGCUGAAUUGUGCCUUAGGGGGUUUGGAAUGUCAAUUCGGGUUACUUUUUUUACGCC